rnacentral:rRNA from 1 species
UACGUAGGCAGCAAGCGUUGUUCGGAGUUACUGGGCGUAAAGGGUGCGUAGGCGGCCUUAUAAGUAUGGUGUGAAGUCUCCCGGCUUAACUGGGAGGGUGCGCUAUAGACUGUGGGGCUAGAGUGUGGGGAGAGGAAAGUGGAAUUCCGGGUGUAGCGGUGGAAUGCGUAGAGAUCCGGAAGAACACCGGGUGGCGAAGGCGGCUCUCUGGCCCGCAACUGACGGCUGACGGCGCGAAAGCGUGGGGAGCAAACAGG